AACCUGCCCAAUGAAUUAUUUGAAUGGCCGCGGUAUUUUGACCGUGCUAAGGUAGCAUAAUAAUUAGUUUUUUAAUUGGAAACUGGAAUGAAUGGUUGAACGAGGGAAAAUCUGUCUCAAUUUAAUUUUAUUAGAAUUUUAUUUUUAAGUAAAAAAGCUUAAAUAAUUUUAAAAGACGAGAAGACCCUAUAGAGUUUUAUAUUUUAUUUUAAGUUAAAUUAUUAGAAUUAUUAGUUUGAUUUAAUAUAACGUAUUUUGUUGGGGUGACAAAAAAAUUUAAUAAACUUUUUUUAUAUAAUAUCAUUGAUAUAUGAAUAAGUGAUCCAUUUUUUAUGAUUAUAAGAUUAAAUUACCUUAGGGAUAACAGCGUAAUUUUUUUUAAGAGUUCUUAUCGAAAAAAGAGAUUGCGACCUCGAUGUUGGAUUAAAAUUAACUUUUGGUGUAGAAGCUAAAACGUUUGGUCUGUUCGACCAUUAAAAUUUUACAUGAUCUGAGUUUAAACCGGCGUGAGCCAGGUUGGUUUCUAUCUUUAAAAAGAUAUAAUAUUUUAGUACGAAAGGACCAAAUAUUAUUAAAAUUUAAUUUAUUUAAUGAAUAUUAAAAAUUAAUUAUUUUG
rnacentral:rRNA from 1 species